UAAGGAAUAUUGGUCAAUGGACGCAAGUCUGAACCAGCCAUGCCGCGUGAAGGAUGAAGGUCCUCUGGAUUGUAAACUUCUUUUAUCUGGGACGAAAACGGGAUUUUUAUCUCAAUUGACGGUACCAGAGGAAUAAGCACCCGCUAACUCCGUGCCAGCAGCCGCGGUAAUACGGAGGGUGCGAGCGUUAUCCGGAUUUACUGGGAUUAAAGGGUGCGUAGGUGGGCUUAUAAGUCAGUGGUGAAAUCUCCGAGCUUAACUUGGAAACUGCCGUUGAUACUAUAGGUCUUGAAUUAUCUGGAGGUAAGCGGAAUAUGUCAUGUAGCGGUGAAAUGCUUAGAUAUGACAUAGAACACCAAUUGCGAAGGCAGCUUACUACAUAUAAAUUGACGCUGAGGCACGAAAGCGUGG
rnacentral:rRNA from 1 species